rnacentral:rRNA from 1 species
GACGAACGCUGGCGGCGUGCUUAACACAUGCAAGUCGAACGGAAAGACCCUGCUUUUGUGGGGUGCUCGAGUGGCGAACGGGUGAGUAACACGUGAGUAACCUGCCCUUGACUUUGGGAUAACUUCAGGAAACUGGGGCUAAUACCGGAUAGGAGCUCCUGCUGCAUGGUGGGGGUUGGAAAGUUUCGGCGGUUGGGGAUGGACUCGCGGCUUAUCAGCUUGUUGGUGGGGUAGUGGCUUACCAAGGCUUUGACGGGUAGCCGGCCUGAGAGGUUGACCGGCCACAUUGGGACUGAGAUACGGCCCAGACUCCUACGGGAGGCAGCAGUGGGGAAUAUUGCACAAUGGGCGGAAGCCUGAUGCAGCAACGCCGCGUGCGGGAUGACGGCCUUCGGGUUGUAAACCGCUUUCGCCUGUGACGAAGCGUGAGUGACGGUAAUGGGUAAAGAAGCACCGGCUAACUACGUG